AGAAUCAACGCUGGCGGCGUGCCUAACACAUGCAAGUCGAACGCGGUUACCCCCGCAAGGGGUAACUGAGUGGCAAACGGGUGAGUAACGCGUGGGUGACCUACCUUCGAGUGGGGGAUAACGUUUCGAAAGGAACGCUAAUACCGCAUGACAUCCUGCCUUUGGACAGGCGGAGAUCAAAGCCGGGAUCGUAAGACCUGGCGCUUGGAGAGGGCCGCGUCCGAUUAGCUAGUUGGUGAGGUACGCUCACCAAGGCGACGAUC
rnacentral:rRNA from 1 species